rnacentral:tRNA from 1 species
CCCCAGGUGGCUCAACGGGUAAAGAAUCCGCCUGCAAUGCGGAAGAUACGCAAGACCUGGGUUCGAUCCCUGCGUGGGGA